rnacentral:rRNA from 1 species
AUGAACGCUGGCGGCGUGCCUAAUACCUGCAAGUCGAGCGAACGGACGAGAAGCUUGCUUCUCUGAUGUUAGCGGCGGACGGGUGAGUAACACGUGGAUAACCUACCUAUAAGACUGGGAUAACUUCGGGAAACCGUAGCUAAUACCGGAUAAUAUUUUGAACCGCAUGGUUCAAAAGUGAAAGACGGUCUUGCUGUCACUUAUAGAUGGAUCCGCGCUGCAUUAGCUAGUUGGUAAGGUAACGGCUUACCAAGGCAACGAUGCAUAGCCGACCUGAGAGGGUGAUCGGCCACACUGGAACUGAGACGCGGUCCAGACUCCUACGGGAGGCAGCAGUAGGGAAUCUUCCGCAAUGGGCGAAAGCCUGACGGAGCAACGCCGCGUGAGUGAUGAAGGUCUUCGGAUCGUAAAACUCUGUUAUUAGGGAAGAACAUAUGUGUAAGUAACUGUGCACAUCUUGACGGUACCUAAUCAGAAAGCCACGGCUAACUACGUG